GCCAACAAAUUGAUCAAUUGAAAGUCUCAUAGAUAAUCAGUUAUGAUAGAGUAAUGCGUACACUUGAUUUUAAGUGGCUCAUAGAUAAUCAGUUAUGAUAGAUACGUUCAGCCUCAACUAAGGCAGCUUGGUUCCCCCUAAAGCACGUAUUUAAUGCUAUACACAACCAAGUUCUCAAGUUGUAACUGACAUAUUUAAGAGGAAUCUAGGAUUCAGACCAAUAGUUUUAUCCCCGGAAAACAUAUCCUCCAUGCGAGACGCUGAUAUUCAUCCUUUUAUACCAUCCGCAACCAAAAGCACCUCUGAUUCUGGUAAUAUGGUGAAGAAUCUCUGCUCUAAGAAAGAAAAAUUCCCAACACCACUUCUCAUAUGCUAGCUCCAGAAGGAAAACCAAGAAUCUGCCGGGUUCAUCCUCUCUCUCAUUCUCACAAGACGCGUAAAGGUAUGCAGUAAAUAUUCCUUCAUACACAGCCUUUGAGUGCAUGCCGGAGCUGACCCUUUUCAACGUAAACCUUUAGUACCAGAAGAUGACAAGAGCCGGCUAUGGUUAUGUGACAGAUAUCUCACCACAACAACAAAAACAGAGCAUCCCUACAAUAGUGGAACACUAAUGGCUACAUAUUUAACAUAUUCUUUGUUCAUAUUAUGUAAAAAAAAUACAUUUCCUGACACACUGCUUUUAUCGUGGACAUAAUGCUUCACAAUAAAAACGCUUCUGUAAAGGGGGCAAGACUUAAACGGAAACAAUUGUGUCUGGGUAGGAGAAAAACCAAACUUGAACAAUGUCAACGCUCCAGUGAAACCCAGUAAGCAUUUUGGUACAAAUAUUAGUUGUGUUCUAGCCUUACUAAAAUCAUAUUUAUGGUCCAUGGAAUGCAGGCGUAGAGCAUGGCGUCCAACCUCUGCCCAUAGUUUUCAUAAACACAGCUCAUAGUACUAUUUAUAGUUACAUUCUUCACAUAUAUAGGCGGCCUCAGGUCCAAAUAAACCACC
rnacentral:lncRNA from 1 species